GCUUCCCUCUUUCUUUAUGCUUAACACAUGCAAGUCGAACGGACUCUUCGGAGUUAGUGGCGGACGGGUGAGUAACGCGUGAGAAUCUGGCUUUGGGUUCGGGACAACCACUGGAAACGGUGGCUAAUACCGGAUGUGCCGAGAGGUAAAAGAGAAAUUGCCUGAAGAUGAGCUCGCGUCUGAUUAGCUAGUUGGUGAGGUAAAGGCUCACCAAGGCAGCGAUCAGUAGCUGGUCUGAGAGGAUGACCAGCCACACUGGGACUGAGACACGGCCCAGACUCCUACGGGAGGCAGCAGUGGGGAAUUUUCCGCAAUGGGCGAAAGACUGACGGAGCAAUACCGCGUGAGGGAAGAAGGCUCUUGGGUUGUAAAACUCUUUUCUUAGGGAAGAACAAAAUGACGGUACCUAAGGAAUCAGCAUCGGCUAACUCCGUG
rnacentral:rRNA from 1 species